GAAUCAGUCUCAACAUCAUUCAUCAGUGAUAUAAAAACAUUGACAGGUCAGGGAAUCAGUCUCAACAUCAUUCAUCAGUGAUAUAAAAACAUUGACAGGUCAGGGAAUCGGUCUCAACAUCAUUCAUCAGUGAUAUAAAAACAUUGACAGGUCAGGGAAUCAGUCUCAACAUCAUUCAUCAGUGAUAUAAAAACAUUGACAGGUCAGGGAAUCGGUCUCAACAUCAUUCAUCAGUGAUAUAAAAACAUUGACAGGUCAGGGAAUCGGUCUCAACAUCAUUCAUCAGUGAUAUAAAAACAUUGACAGGUCAGGGAAUCGGUCUCAACAUCAUUCAUCAGUGAUAUAAAAACAUUGACAGGUCAGGGAAUCAGUCUCAACAUCAUUCAUCAGUGAUAUAAAAACAUUGACAGGUCAGGGAAUCAGUCUCAACAUCAUUCAUCAGUGAUAUAAAAACAUUGACAGGUCAGGGAAUCGGUCUCAACAUCAUUCAUCAGUGAUAUAAAAACAUUGACAGGUCAGGGAAUCAGUCUCAACAUCAUUCAUCAGUGAUAUAAAAACAUUGACAGGUCAGGGAAUCGGUCUCAACAUCAUUCAUCAGUGAUAUAAAAACAUUGACAGGUCAGGGAAUCGGUCUCAACAUCAUUCAUCAGUGAUAUAAAAACAUUGACAGGUCAGGGAAUCAGUCUCAACAUCAUUCAUCAGUGAUAUAAAAACAUUGACAGGUCAGGGAAUCAGUCUCAACAUCAUUCAUCAGUGAUAUAAAAACAUUGACAGGUCAGGGAAUCAGUCUCAACAUCAUUCAUCAGUGAUAUAAAAACAUUGACAGGUCAGGGAAUCAGUCUCAACAUCAUUCAUCAGUGAUAUAAAAACAUUGACAGGUCAGGGAAUCAGUCUCAACAUCAUUCAUCAGUGAUAUAAAAACAUUGACAGGUCAGGGAAUCAGUCUCAACAUCAUUCAUCAGUGAUAUAAAAACAUUGACAGGUCAGUGAAUCGGUCUCAACAU